GGACGCGAAACCGUUUGACGUGCACCUUUAAACAUACAGCAAUAGCCGGGAAUCCGCGUUUACGGUUUCCGCGCGUAUGAGUACAGAGUGUAAUGCAGAAACGUCGGUAAUGUAUACCCACUUGAAUAUUAUCGUUGAACUUUAUGAUUCGUAAAAAAAAAAAAAAAAAUUAAAAAAAAUGACAAAUUCUGCAAUAUUAUUUAAAGUACGACUUGUGCAAACGAUUCGAGCGGUUUAUAUUUAUUGUAUCGU